rnacentral:rRNA from 1 species
UACAGGGGGUGCUAGCGUUGUUCGGAAUUACUGGGCGUAAAGGGCGCGUAGGCGGUUUUGUAAGUCAGGAGUGAAAUCCCGGAGCUUAACUUCGGAAUUGCUUUUGAAACUACAAGGCUAGAGUGUAUUAGAGGAUGGCGGAAUUCCUAGUGUAGUGGUGAAAUACGUAGAUAUUAGGAAGAACACCGGUGGCGAAGGCGGCCAUCUGGGAUACAACUGACGCUGAGGCGCGAAAGCGUGGGGAUCAAACAGG